rnacentral:tRNA from 1 species
AAGAAAGUAACAGAAGGGUUAUGUGGCUGGCUUGAAACCAGUUUAUGGGGGUUCGAGUCCUCCCUUUCUCG